GACGAACGCUGGCGGCGUGCUUAACACAUGCAAGUCGAACGGAAAGGCCCUGCUUGCAGGGUACUCGAGUGGCGAACGGGUGAGUAACACGUGGGUGAUCUGCCCUGCACUUCGGGAUAAGCCUGGGAAACUGGGCCUAAUACCGGAUAGGAGCCAUUUUUAGUGUGAUGGUUGGAAAGUUUUUUCGGUGUAGGAUGAGCUCGCGGCCUAUCAGCUUGUUGGUGGGGUAAUGGCCUACCAAGGCGGCGACGGGUAGCCGGCCUGAGAGGGUGGACGGCCACAUUGGGACUGAGAUACGGCCCAGACUCCUACGGGAGGCAGCAGUGGGGAAGAUUGCACAAGGGGCGCAAGCCUGAUGCAGCGACGCCGCGUGGGGGAUGACGGCCUUCGGGUUGUAAACUCCUUUCGCUAGGGACGAAGCUUUUUGUGACGGUACCUAGAUAAGAAGCACCGGCUAACUACGUG
rnacentral:rRNA from 1 species